rnacentral:rRNA from 1 species
UAAACUUAGUGGCGAACGGGUGAGUAACGCGUGAGUAACCUGCCCUGGAGUGGGGGGACAACAGUUGGAAACGACUGCUAAUACCGCAUAAGCCCACGGUCCGGCAUCGGAUUGCGGGAAAAGGAUUUAUUCGCUUCAGGAUGGACUCGCGUCCAAUUAGCUAGUUGGUGAGGUAACGGCCCACCAAGGCGACGAUUGGUAGCCGGACUGAGAGGUUGAACGGCCACAUUGGGACUGAGACACGGCCCAG